GGGAUUGAUCCCAUGCCUCUGCAGUGACCAGAGCUGUUCAGUUGGAUUCUUAACCCAUUGCACCAUAGGAGGAAUUCUCAGUAUUGUCCUUUAUAGCUAUGUGUAUAUACUUGUAUAUGUGCUUGGGGUCCACAGCCCACUCCAGGAUCAAACAUUGCAUUUAGUUGUCCUGACCCUGGGUUUCCUUUAAUCUGGAACAUAUGUUCACCCUUUCUUUGUGCUCUUGGCCUUUACAUUUUUUAAAACUACAGGCCAGUUAUCUUUAAAAUGUCUCUUAUGAUGUGAUUCAGGUAAUGAAUUUUUGCCAGAAACAUCACAAAAUGACAAUGUAUCUUCUUAGUGCAGCAUUAUAGGAAACAAAUCAUGUUGGUUGCCCCAGUAUUGGUGAUGUUAACUUUGAUCAUUGGUUAAGGCCGUGUCCCUCUAGUAAUUUCUGGGGUGAUAUUUUGAGAAUAUGUAAAUCAUCUCAUCAAAUAUUCACCAACUGGUUUAUGUAUCUAUUGAUGAUUCUUGCCUUAGUUUUUUUACCACAGUGGUUGCAAAAUAGUAAUCUCAUUUCUUCCUCAGUAAUUAGUUGGCAUUCUACUGUAAGGAAGAGCUUCCUCUCCACACAUUUAUUUAUAUCAGUAUAGAUUCAUGUUUUAUUUAAUGCGUUGUACUUUGUUUCUUUUCAUAAUUUAUUUUGAUGCUUGAAUUGUCCCAGGAUAGGCUCCUUGCUGCCCACCCUCCAUCCCCCCACCCUCACCUUUCAGGCUGGCUCCUGUGUCCUUUAUGGUAUGUUCCCAUCUUUAUUGAGCAGUUUCUGGCACAAGAUGUUCUAGGGGCUCAUCUUGUUAUUUUCUCUACCCUAGCCUUCUGAGGCUCUUGUUACUUUGGGGUAGAAUAUGUAUUUAGAAACUAAAAGCUGGGAACUAGGUAUGCUCAUUGCUACUGGAGUGUUACGGCCAUGAGGCCCUUUCAGUGGACAUACCUGUAAACACACAUAAGCAUGAUAUCUGUCUUUAUUUCUACCCUUCCCUUUAUCUGUUUAAAACAUUGAAUUCAUUCUGAUGAUUCAAAAUCCAAUCCAGAUGGCUUCUAUGGUGCAGGCUUCAGCUGUUGGGCACUCUCCCUUAUCCCCUAAAGUAUGAGCUGCCUUGAAGGUCCGUAUUUCCUGCCAUGCAUUUGGCUCUCUUAUAAGAGGAUAGGGCAAAAGGGGAGAAAAAUAAUAGUUGACUGCCACCCUAAUGAGGCUUUCAAAAAUUUCAAGACAAUUCUUCCUACCCAAGAGAGAAUUAAAGUUGUGGCAUCUACUGGAGAGUGCAUCAAUAGUUAAGUAUCAGCUGUCACCAAAGAUAGCUACAUACUUAUGUAGUAUAGCACAAAAGGUCUCAAGUGUAGAGUAAAAUGAGCAAGAUGAACAUCUCUGGAAGCAGUCAUAGAAGCCACACACACACACACACACACACACGCACGCAUGCACAAACACACAGACACAGAAUUAUAGACAUGCAAACACAUAUGCACAGAUACACUGCAUUAAUUUCCUAGGACUGUUGUAGCAAAUCACGACACACUGGGUGGCUUAAAAAAACAUCAGAAAUUAAUUUUUUCACAGUUUCUGAAAUAAACUUGAAAAACUGGAUAAACAAUGAGGUCCUGCUGUAUAGUGCUGGGAACUAUAUCUCAUCACUUAUGAUGGAGCAUGAUAAUGAGAGAAAAAAUGUAUACAUGUAUGUGUAGCUGGGUCACCUUGCAGUAUAGUAGAAAAUUGACAGAACACUGUAAACCACCUAUAGUGGAAAAAAUAAAAAUCAUUAUAAAAAAAGAAAAACUGGAAUAUAAACAAAACAAUUUUACAGUUACUAUUUUUUUGUCUUUGUUUUUCAAUUUUUGUCGUUUAUUUUUAGUUGCUCUGUGAUUUCAAAUUAUGGUUUAUGGUAUACUGUGUAAUAAGUAAUUAUAAAAUUAAUUGUUAGAACUUCUUAUUUCUAGAAAUGUUAGGAGUUUCUUUGUAGAGCAUUGAACUAAGAUUUUUUUUCACCUUUAGAUAAGGAGUUCCUGUUUGGGGUUUAGUAGAUUAAGAAUAUUCAGUGUUAUGAAAAUACAAUGCAAAUAAAAGAAUAUGGUUCAUCCUGUCGAAAGAAUUCCUUUGCUAGGGGCUGUAUUUAAGUGCUUGAUAAACGCUAAAUUAGCAAAAUCCCCUUUGAUUUGACUUUUAGCUCUUAGGCAUUAUAACAUCUAUCAGCUGUUAAAAGAGUUCUUGUUUGUUUUUAUGUUUCUUUAUGUGAUCUUUAGUUACCUCACAGUUAAUGUACAUGAUAAUGAAGAGGAUGUGUUAGUUACAUCCUGGGUUGUCAAAAAACAGAGACAUAAAUAGAAGAGAAGGCAUAAGGGUGUGAAUCACCUCCCCUAGUAUUUCUCUUUCCUCUGGCUAAGGUGGGUUUCAUGGUGGCUGGCCUAAGAAUAGUACACCUCUGUAUUUAUUAGGGAGGUUCAGCUCAAUGUGGAAACUUUAUAAAACUUAAUUCCAGGUGACAACUCAUUCCCAGAGGACUGGGGCAUGCAAGUUCCCUCAUGGCCAGUUAAUUUCCUGGGCAUGCUCCUGCAAAGCCUUUGGAUAACACAGUACUUUGCUUCUUUCUUAGUCUCUUUCAACAUUCAGGAGACCAUAGCUUCCUUUAUGCACAGGCCUACAAAAGGAACUUUGUUCUUAGAGAAUUUGUUAAUUAAGAUACCUCUAUAUUUACCACCUUUUCCAUAGUAAGGUUAAUGUUGUUUGAAGUCAUGGAAGAUACUUUUUAUUUUCUUUGUAUCCGGCAUAAUGCUUUUGAAGGCAAGGUUUUGUUUUGUUUGUUUGUUUGCUUUUUAGGGCUGAACCCAGGGCACAUGGAAGUUCCCAGGCUAGGGGUUGAAUCAGAGCUACAACUACCAGUCUACACCACAGCCACAGCAAUGUGGAAUCUGAGCCAUGUUUGCAGCCUACACCACAGCUCAGGCAACGCCAGGUCCUUAACCCACUGAGCGAGGCCAGGGAUCGAACCCUCAUCCUCAUGGAUCUAGUCUGGUUCGUUAACCGCUGAGCCACGAAGGUAAUCCCCUAGGCAAGGCAUUUUUAAGUGUUGGACCCCAAGUAGAACUUGGGCCUUUUUGGUUGAGGCCACUAACCUCCAGAGAAAAUUUAAAUGAUGGUUAUACAGAAAGCAACUUUUGAUUUCUUUUUUAAAACUCAUUUGCUUUAUAAAUUAAUAACAAGCUAUAAAAUGAUGUUUGUUUAAGAAAAGGCUCACAGUGGAAAAAGAUCCUCAAAAAAAGAACCUAGUAUGUACAUUAAAACACAGAUAUAUAAAUAAAAAGAAACAUCAAGCAUGGGAAGUUUAGAAUUUAGGGGAAAAUCAGUUAGGUUCUCAUUUUCACAUUAUGUGUGAAACUUAAGCUACCUAUGUAAAAUGCAGUAACUACAUAAAAAUGAAUAAUAAAAUUAAAAAUUUACAUAAAUAUGUAUCCUGACUUCUGGGUGGAGAAGAAUUUAAUGAACAAAAAAGUGUAAGAAUGUUAUUUGCCAUUUGUACAUUUGAUUAACUUAAGUUUAGCAGUAUCUUUUUAAAAAGUCUAACAAAAUCAAAAGAUAAAACCCAAGGGAAAUAUAAACCUACACACAGUAUGUUUAAUAUCUUAAUUCUUUGAAGAGCUCAUGUUAAUUCAUUUGGUUUAUCUUAAAUUCCCGGUUUCCAUUUGGACAGUCUACACAUACUACUAUUUAGUGGAACUAAGAGUCUUAAGUCCAGAGAAAAACUUACCUCUUGGUAAGUAGUUAAUACUUAGAUGAGUAGUUAAUAGCCCUCUGUCCCCCACAAUUCUCACUUCAUUUUACAUUCUUUUUUGUGCUUUUUCCUUCUUUGCUCUUACUUCCUCACUCUUUUUGAUGGAUCCUCUUCCUCUUUUUGCGCCAUACUAAAUUUAACAGAGUUUUUUUUCCCCCCCUUUAUUGUUUCUUUUGUCUGAUUAAGGUUUCCUUCCUCUUUUAUUUUGCAAGAGUUGUAUUUUGCACAGUUGGGGGCACUCCUUGAACUUGGAAGUCUUCACAUCCCCCCUUCUCUAGUGCCUGUUUUUCUUUAGAAUUAUUUAUCAGAUUAGAACAGCAUAGGAGGUGUUUUCAAAACUUUUUGUGAUAGAGCAACUGAAAUGUAACUGGACAUGAACUGAAAUUUAUUUCUAAAUAACUCUGAGGAGCAGCGUGAAACUUGCUUCUUCCACGGAGCAGGAGUAAUUGGUGUUUGUUAAUUAGGAGAUCCUGAUGCUGCUUAGUUUCUCUAUGAUCUUUGGGAAUGUUUAGUUGUUCUGCCUUUAACUAAAUUGUGGUUAUGCAAAACUGCAUUAUUUUUUUCUUGGAAGGCCUCCCAGUAAUUAUAAUAGACUAUAGCAGUUCUCAGACUUCAGUGGGCAUAAGCAAUAGACUUGUUAAAAUAAAAAUGUCCCACUUCUGGAAGUUAGUAUUCAGCAGAUCUUGGGCAGGCCCUUUUAAAACUGAAUUUAGAAGAAGCACCCCAGGUAAUUUUGAUAUAGGUCAUCAGGAGACCACAACUGGAAAAACAUUGCCAUAUGGCAUCAAGACCAAACUCUUCGAUAUGGCUCAUAAUUUUGCUUCUCUGCCUCUCCAGCCCCAUUUUCCAUAGGUCUACACCACACACCUUUCGCUUCAGAAAUGUUAAGCCAUUCAUACAUGUUGUAACCCUAACCCUUUAUAUAUCCUGGCACAUGCUGGUCCCUCUGCCUACAAACCCCUGCCUUGCACCUUCAUUCUUUAGGUCUCUAUUAAAGCAGCUCACCUUUCCUGAAAUGAAGUUAAUCUACACUCACAUUCGUAGUUCUAUUAUUGCACUUAACACAGCACUUCAUCAUGGCUGGUUUCCUGGACUCUCCCUACUAGAUUAUGUGUUCCUUAAGGAUAGAGGCUGUCAAGUUGAUCUCUGUCCUUCAGUGUCUGGCACAUGAAAUAAAGCUUCUUUUGCCUCUUUGGAACUUUUAGCCUGCUAGACCUAAAGAAAUGCUGUAGUAGCAGUGCUGCACUCCUGUAUUCUGAGAGUUUUCAUGUGGUUUUAAGUAUACUUAUUUUUACAAAAAGCAGUUGUUUUAAAAUUAUUUUUCCAAAAGCAAGUAUUUUGAAUUAUUUUUGAAUUAAAGGGACAAAAAUAAUUUAGUAAUUAAUAAGGCACCCUGGCUAUAUACCAUAUAUUUUUCUUGCCACUGUAUGUGACUAUGUAAGUUGUUUUUCCUCACAAGACUUUAAUUUGUACCUAUAAUUCUACCUGAUAUCUACAGUGGCUUUCCGAUGGUCUUCCCCUUUUCUAAUAACUCUUAUAUAAGCACCAUGUCCUCUGACUAGAAUACACUUGCUCCCCCAUCUCCCUCACUUCGAUAUUUAGUUCUUUCCAGUUGCCUUCUGAAGAGAAAAAAAAAAAA
rnacentral:lncRNA from 1 species